CCUACGGGUGGCAGCAGUCGAGAAUCAUUCACAAUGGGGGAAACCCUGAUGGUGCGACGCCGCGUGGGGGAAUGAAGGUCUUCGGAUUGUAAACUCUUGUCAUGUGGGAGAAAAUUAAAAAGAUAGUACCACAAGAGGAAGAGACGGCUAACUCUGUGCCAGCAGCCGCGGUAAUACAGAGGUCUCAAGCGUUGUUCGGAAUCACUGGGCGUAAAGCGUGCGUAGGCUGUUUCGUGAGUCGUGUGUGAAAGGUGCGGGCUCAACCCGCGGACGGCACAUGAUACUGCGAGACUAGAGUAAUGGAGGGGGAACCGGAAUUCUCGGUGUAGCAGUGAAAUGCGUAGAUAUCGAGAGGAACACUCGUGGCGAAGGCGGGUUCCUGGACAUUAACUGACGCUGAGGCACGAAGGCCAGGGGAGCGAAAGGGAUUAGAUACCCCAGUAGUC
rnacentral:rRNA from 1 species